AGCAGCCGCGGUAAUUCCAGCUCCAAUAGCGUAUAUUAAAGUUGUUGCAGUUAAAAGCUCGUAGUUGAAUUUCGGGAUCAAGUCGUCGGUCGUGCUCAGGUACGUACUGGCGUCAUUGAUUUCUCCCUUCUGACGAACCAUGAUGUCAUUAAUUUGGUGUCAUGGGAAAUCAGGACUGUUACUUUGAAAAAUUGAGUGUUUAAGGCAGGCUCACGCUUGAAUACAUUAGCAUGGAAUAAUGAAAUAGGACGUUCGAUCCUAUUUUGUUGGUUUCUAGGAUUGACAUAAUGAUUAAUAGGGAUAGUUGGGGGCAUUAGUAUUCAAUUGUCAGAGGUGAAAUUCUUGGAUUUAUUGAAGACUAACUACUGCGAAA
rnacentral:misc_RNA from 1 species